rnacentral:rRNA from 1 species
CCUACGGGAGGCAGCAGUAGGGAAUAUUGCUCAAUGGGGGAAACCCUGAAGCAGCAACGCCGCGUGGAGGAUGAAGGUUUUCGGAUUGUAAACUCCUUUUGUUAGAGAAGAUAAUGACGGUAUCUAAAGAAUAAGCACCGGCUAACUCCGUGCCAGCAGCCGCGGUAAUACGGAGGGUGCAAGCGUUAGUCGGACUCACUGGGCGUAAAGAGCGCGGAGGCGGGAUAGCAAGUCAGAUGUGAAAUCCUAUGGCUUAACCAUAGAACUGCAUUUGAAACUGUUAUUCUAGAGUGUGGGAGAGGUAGGUGGAAUUCUUGGUGUAGGGGUGAAAUCCGUAGAGAUCAAGAGGAAUACUCAUGGCGAAGGCGACCUGCUAGAACAUAACUGACGCUGAUGCGCGAAAGCGUGGGGAGCAAACAGGAUUAGAUACCCCUGUAGUC